rnacentral:rRNA from 1 species
AUGAACGCUGGCGGCGUGCCUAAUACAUGCAAGUCGAGCGAACAGAUGAGGAGCUUGCUCCUCUGACGUUAGCGGCGGACGGGUGAGUAACACGUGGAUAACCUACCUAUAAGACUGGGAUAACUUCGGGAAACCGGAGCUAAUACCGGAUAAUAUAUUGAACCGCAUGGUUCAAUAGUGAAAGACGGUUUUGCUGUCACUUAUAGAUGGAUCCGCGCCGCAUUAGCUAGUUGGUAAGGUAACGGCUUACCAAGGCAACGAUGCGUAGCCGACCUGAGAGGGUGGUCGGCCACACUGGAACUGAGACACGGUCCAGACUCCUACGGGAGGCAGCAGUAGGGAAUCUUCCGCAAUGGGCGAAAGCCUGACGGAGCAACGCCGCGUGAGUGAUGAAGGUCUUCGGAUCGUAAAACUCUGUUAUUAGGGAAGAACAAAUGUGUAAGUAACUAUGCACGUCUUGACGGUACCUAAUCAGAAAGCCACGGCUAACUACGUG